AAAACUAUAAGUUUCCCGCGGCUAUAUCUAUUAUAUUCGCCCAUACCCAUUUUAUCCCCGAAAGCCUGGGACGGUAUACUAAAGCCGACCCAUUAAAUUAUAUAUAAUAAUGGAAAUUAAAUUAUAUGCAUGUAUGAAUUGCAGAGUUAAUAGAUGCUUAAAACAGAUUUCGGAGAAAAAUAUUUAAACUACUCAUAAUAAAUAAAGAUUUAUGAAUAAUGUAGGGGCCAUUUCCAAGUAAGUAAGAUGACUAAAGUAGAUUUAUGUGGUCAUCGGUGAUAUUUGGCAAGCUUUAUUGACAGUUUCCAGUUGGUAGGAAAAAUUCCAAUUGUUUUGAAUUGAGCAAAUUUGUCAAAUUGGUUUGCGAUUCGAAAUUGUAAUUAUGUAUACAUGCACUUAAUCGUUUUACUGUCUGUAAUAUAAUAUUUGCGUCAAUAAUAGUUUAAAUUGGAUUGCAUGUUCAACCAAACUAAAAUGCGGUCAGGAUUAAUGAGAUUAUCGAUGUGGAAGUUUUUUUUACUAAAAUUGGUAAUAAUGUUAACUGUAAUAUUUGUAAAAAAAAUUUCAAGUUUUCUGGUAAUACAUCAAAUUCAAAUGAUCGCCUACGACGAAGGCAUCCAUCAUCACUUAGUGUGGAGGAGACUCCUCCGGCAAUAGUCGAGGAUAAGAAAGUUAUAUAUAGCAAGCUGUUAUAAAUGGAAAGAUAUGUGAUUUCAGAAAUAUCAAAGGAAAUUUUUGAAAGAUAGUUAAGUAGUGUUUCUUUG